rnacentral:rRNA from 1 species
CAUUACUGUAAGACAUAGGGUUUGAGACUGCGUCCUUAAACUGGCGUGUGCUCGACUCUUAAUUCUUUCAUCCACAUACACCUCUGUGCACCAUGGGACCGUAAAUGGUCCCCUUUUUUAUAUACAAAUACCAAGUUAUAUGCAUGUUUUUGUUAUACACACUCUACGGAGUUAAUGUACAACUUUCAACAACGGAUCUCUUGGCUUUCGCAUCGAUGAAGAACGCAGCGAACGUGCGAAACGUAAUGUGAAUUGCAGAAUUCAGUGAAUCAUCGAAUCUUUGAACGCAUCUUGCGCUCCUUGGUAUUCCGAGGAGCAUGCCUGUUUGAGUGUCGUGAAUAACUCAAUUUCAAAUCUUUUUUGUUUUGAAAAUUGGAUUUGGGUGUUGUCGUUUUGUGACGACUCAUCCCUAAAUGCAUUAGCGAUCUGCCCCGAUCACAUGCAAUGUGAUAAGAAAUAUAAAGCAUUGUUCAUGAUUGGAAAUCCAGAUAAGCUUCUAAUCGUCGAAAGACAAACUUUACUUAUGUCAUUUGACCUCAAAUCAGGCAGGACUACCCGCUGAACUUAAGCAUAUCAAUA